ensembl:lncRNA
GGUUAGCUAUUUCAAGCUGCUGUGAACAUAGAUAUGAAACUAGAAUAGUAUUUGUGCGCUGUAAGAUGAACAGAAUUAUUCAGUUGUACUGCCAAACUUGCAUUUGAAUUUGUUCAGGUGACAUCAAGGGCAUAAAAGCUGCUUAGCAUAGCGUUGUUUUGCAAGGUUAGCUUACAGCCUGUUUAAAAUCCAUCUAUUAAAAAUGGGUUUCAAUCAUUUAGCAGCUUAGUUACACAACUGUAUUAACAUGCUUUCCAAAGUGAGGUUGCUGUGGUUUUGAAUGUGUCAUAAACCAUGCUGAAAGACAGAAAAUUCACUUUACAAGUCCGACCACAACUCCCAGAAUGCACCGGACAGGGAAGCGCCACUUUAUGUGUGUGCGCAAUAACAGUGGGACAGUUUACAUGCGAGGAGAUGUAUUUAACUCACAAAAUAAAAUCACAAGAUUGAUAAACAAGUUUUUUUUCUGUGAAGCUUGGAGGAUUUUUUACUGCUAUUUUUUAACUUUUUGAGCAUUUGUUAUGAUGUGUAACCAUGGCAACAAGCUGGUUUACAAUCGGGAGCAGCUUAACAUUGGAAAGGCUUAAAUAAUACCUCAACUGAAGCCACAAAUCCCAAAUGAGCUAAAACCAUCAACAUAUGCAUAUAUGGAGAAUGGGUUUCCAUUGACCCAAUAACACGUUUUUGAGGAGAAAUGGGAGGUGGCCACCACCGCCAUUUUGACCGUGUCACAGGUUCCGUCAGGCCCAGACAAUUACACAAAAGGGAAGAGAGGUGGAGCUGAGGGUGGGGCUGUAAGGCUGGGAUCAAAUGACGACACCCGGUCGAACUAGCUACAAGCUAACCUGAAGGUGGGAGCUAAGCUAAGCUGGAGGUAGCUACCUAGCUACAACCAGAGCUAACUCUGUGGAACACCAGCGACCUGAAGGUCACACGGAGUUUGUGUGGAGGUUUGCGGCGCUUUUUCAUGAAAACUAUCUUUCUGUGAAUAAAAAAGUAUUAAAUCUGUAAGUUUAUAAGUGAUUUCCUUAAUGAAAAUAUAUUUUCUUUAGAGCAAGUUUUCAAUAUUUUUAACGUACCGUAUUUUCCGGAGUAUAAGUCACUCCGGAGUACAAGUCGCACCAGCCAUAAAAUGUAUAAUGAAUAAGAAAGAAAAAAAAAGCCGCACUGGACUAUAAGUCGUGUUUUGGGGGGAAAUUUUAUCGUUUUUCUUACAAAAUCGGAGACCAAGCAUUUCACAUUGCAAGACAAGUACCAGUAACAAUAACAGAAUAAACAACACGGGCACAGCAGCGCGCCACGGUCUCCAGUAGAGGAUGGCGGUGUUUGAAACCCUCCCAGCGGGACAGGGGAGCUCAUUCCUGGGUCAGAGCCGGCCCGCAGCAGCGCACCACAGGCUGCAGCAGGUGAUGGCAGGGCAGAGGAGCUGAAACCUGGGCCGGAUCCAGUGUGCAACAGGCUCCAGCAGGUGAUGGCUGUGUGAUUUUUAUUCCCAGCUGGGCAGGGGAGCUCAUUCCUGGUCCAGAGCCAGCCCGCAGCAGCACGGUAUAGUCUACAUUAUUUGGUAUAUAAGUCGCUCCGGAGUAUAAGUCGCAGGACCGGCCAGACUAUGAAAAAAAGUGCGACUUAUAGUCUGGAAAAUACGGUAGUUAUUAGUAUUUGAGAUAAAUUAGCAGGCUAAAUACAUUUCAUAUAUUUCCAAAACGUAAUACUUGUUUGUAUCUUGUACAGCCAAGUAGCCUUUAUUCUGGACUCAGUACAACUCACCAAAAGUAAAGAGACAUUAUACAGAUGAAGUAAGCACAAGAUAACUUACUGGAAGACACGGAAUUAUCAUGAGAACCAGAACAAGAGAGCCUGAUAACAGUCAUGUGAAAAUAAUAAUUAAAAAGUAUGUAUGUAUUAUAGAAAAAAAAUAGAAUUAGUGUAACUCACUGUGAUCCAAACUAUAAAUCAGCCAUAGCUGAUUAGUAAAUAUGACAUGAGGUCUGGGAGUUUUUAAGUUUCAUUCUUUUAUUACAUUUUUUUCUUAGAUCUGUUAAAAGGUCACCAUGGCAGCCUGUGUGUCAACGUCGGCUACACAAAGCAGCAAGUGUAAGUACCAAGUACCUGUCUUGACCACUUUAUGAAUGGUUUUGUACUUUAAACAGCUUGGCCAAACCUGUUAUUUUUUUCUCCACAGCCAUUUGGAUCAUUGGAGACAGCUACGUGAGGCGCCCAGAGAGCUGCAGAGACCCUCGGAGACAACCUUGGCCUCCCUGACGUCCAUGUCUCCUGGUUCGGUUGGGGCGGACUGAGGUGGAAAGACCUUCUCCCCUUCUUUUUCCACUCCUUGCGAGGAAGAGCAGCUCCUUAUGUCCUUCUCAUCCACUGUGGCGGCAAUGACAUGGGGUGGUCAGCAGUGUGAAGCUGGUCAACAUGAUGAAGGAGGACCUGCACCGGCUUCACCUUCUACACCCUCAUAUGAUGAUCAUCAUGUCAUCCAUCACCCAAAGGUGUAGCUGGAGGGUAGGUGUAAAACUUGAUUAAAUUGAGAAGGCCAGGAGGUUUAACAGUGUUAUGGCUACACUUAUUUCUAGUUUAAAUGGUGCCGUUGUUGUGCAUCCUCGCAUCACAUCUUCCUGUACCAACACUUUGUGUCCUGUUAUUUUAUAAAAUGUGAUGUAAAAAAAUAAAUGUUUUUGCUCAAUUACUGGAAUUUCUUUGGUUAAGACAAAAGGAAGGAAGAAUCAUUUAUGCCAAGUUAUUUCUACAACAGGCCCAUUUUAAGUCCAUCAGUUUCUUAGCAGCCAAUUGAAAUGUGUACUUUACUAACUUUACUUGGUUUAAAAAUCUUACUAAAAUAAACCUUAAAAGCUGCCAUAUUGCAAAACCCAAUCAUACUUGUUAUGUAAAUAUUAGCUUUGUAGACAUUUGUAUUAAUUUUUUACAGAUAGAUAUCUGUGUGCUAAAAAAACCCAUAAACCUAAAUAAUUUGUAAUUCUUUAUUGAAAAACAACAAAAUACAGGUAUACAGAACGUGUGGGAAAAUGAUAAUGUGAAGCUAUUGCUCUUUAAAUGUAAUAAUAUUUAUCUGUAAAAAGAAAAAUUCUAAAAAUGUCCUGUACAGCAACAUGACAGACGAAUGGUGGUCUGUCUGUCAGAAUGUGCUGAACAGAUUUGCUCUAUCAAGAGGAGCCUUUUGUGUACGAGUUUAUUUUAUUGUAAAACUGGUUUGGAUUGUGUAUCGCCACAUUAGCAUGUAAAUGCUGAUCCAAUCUGGAAAAAAAGGGUUGAUAGAGGACAAACAAGUAAAUAAGAGAGAAAAAUAAAAACAACUAGGAAACCAACAUAAAAAAACAGCAACCAGCUGCUGCACCUGUGAAGAAACAUUUCUAAAGCCCCCUUCAGACAGGCCAUGAAAAACGGAAAUGUUCCGGACUCUGUCCGUAAGACCUUUGUGUCUGAAUACAAACAUCCGGAUAACGUGUUCCGGAAUUUAACCGGACGAAGCCCCUAGUAACUGUUCCUGAUUUGUUACGGACAGGGUGGCUGCUUCAGACUGGUGGGGUAAAGUUCCGGACAAGAGGGAGGGGGAGGAGGAGGGGACCGGGGGACGCUGUGCGCACCUAGAUAGCUCGCUGCUGUAGCAUGCGGCGAACCACGGCAGCUCGCCUCCUACGGUACUGCCUAGACGCGCAACGGAGCGCUUCACACCGCUUCAGUGAUUCCUUUAGCCAUUNCUAGACGCGCGACGGAGCGCUUCACACCGCUUCAGUGAUUCCUUUAACCAUUGAGCUUCAUCAUCCAGGUCUCUUAUGCGUCUUCGUGUGCGCAGAAUUAUGCUUAAGCGCCUCGUGAUUUUUAUCUUGAGAGGCGCUAUAGAAAUGAU